rnacentral:other from 1 species
CCUCUGCUGGUCUCCGUGAGGUGAUUGACGAUUGAAUCCCGAGUAACCAUGAACCAGGGGCCCACGAACGUUGUCGUGGUGUGCUAGGCCCGGAAACCUUCACCGGGAAGCCUGAAGCGGCACAGGGGGCACCCACCUAGCGGCUAGCUAGGGGUUCACAGUCAUUCGACCCACGAUUCCGGCGGUCAG